CAGUAGCCGCGGUAAUACGGAGGGUGCAAGCGUUAAUCGGAAUUACUGGGCGUAAAGCGCACGCAGGCGGUCUGUCAAGUCAGAUGUGAAAUCCCCGGGCUUAACCUGGGAACUGCAUUUGAAACUGGCAGGCUAGAGUCUUGUAGAGGGGGGUAGAAUUCCAGGUGUAGCGGUGAAAUGCGUAGAGAUCUGGAGGAAUACCGGUGGCGAAGGCGGCCCCCUGGACAAAGACUGACGCUCAGGUGCGAAAGCGUGGGUAGCAAACAGGAUUAGAUACCCCGGUAGUCCCUGUCUCUUAUAC
rnacentral:rRNA from 1 species